CUGCUACAACAUUAUCAACCUGCUACAACUCAACACAACAUUACCAACCUGCUACAACUAAAUACAACAUUAUCAACCUAUACAACUAAACACGACAUUAUCAACCUGCUACAACUAAAUACAACAUUACUAACCUGCUACAACAUUACCAACCUGCUACAAGUAAACACAACAUUACCAACCUGCUACAAUUAAACACAACAUUACCAACCUGCACAACUAAACACAACAUUACCAACCUGCUACAACUCAACACAACAUUACCAACCUGCUACAACUCAACACAACAUUACCAACCUGCUACAACUCAACACAACAUUACCAACCUGCUACAACUAAAUACAACAUUAUCAACCUGCUACAACAUUAUCAACCUGUACAACUAAACACAACAUUACCGACCUGCUACAACUCAACACAACAUUACCGACCUGCUACAACUCAACACAACAUUACCAACCUGCUACAACUCAACACAACAUUACCAACCUGCUACAACUAAAUACAACAUUAUCAACCUGCUACAACAUUAUCAACCUGUACAACUAAACACAACAUUAUCGACCUGCUACAACUAAACACAACAUUAUCGACCUGCUACACAGAGAGGAACCAAGCAUAAAUGUCUUUUUCCAUUGAUUGAAAAUAGCUGUCACUGCAGGGGGAUGUUUGUAGCCAUCUUUUCAUUUUAUUUUCUCCUUCAUGUGGGAACAUCUAUAAUAUUAGACCCAUCUCUUUAUUCUCUUGAAUGACCUGUACAGACCAGGGUCUGUACCGACCCCGAGCUGGACUGAGGAGGUUUUAUACAGACCAGGGUCUGUAUCGACCCAGAGCUGGACUGAGGAGGUUUUAUACAGACCAGGGUCUGUACCGAGCUGGACUGAGGAGGUUUUAUACAGACCAGGGUCUGUAUCGACCCAGAGCUGGACUGAGGGGUUUUAUACAGACCAGGGUCUGUACCGACCCAGAGCUGGACUGAGGAGGUUUUAUACAGACCAGGGUCUGUAUCGACCCCGAGCUGGACUGAGGAGGUUUUAUACAGACCAGGGUCUGUACCGACCCCGAGCUGGACUGAGGAGGUUUUAUACAGACCAGGGUCUGUACUGAGCUGGACUGAGGAGGUUUUAUACAGACCAGGGUCUGUACCGACCCCGAGCUGGACUGAGGAGGUUUUAUACAGACCAGGGUCUGUGAUCAACCAAGAUGGACUGAGGAGGUUUUAUACAGACCAGGAUCUGUACCGACCCAGAACUGAACUGAGGAGGUUUUAUACAGACCAGGGUCUGUACCGACCCAGAGCUGGACUGAGGAGGUUUUAUACAGACCAGGGUCUGUACCGACCCAGAGCUGGACUGAGGAGGUUUUAUACAGACCAGGGUCUGUACCGACCCAGAACUGGACUGAGGAGGUUUUAUACAGACCAGGGUCUGUACCGACCCCGAGCUGCACUGAGGAGGUUUUAUACAGACCAGGGUCUGUACCGACCCCGAGCUGGACUGAGGAGGUUUUAUACAGACCAGGGUCUGUACCGAGCUGGACUGAGGAGGUUUUAUACAGACCAGGGUCUGUAUCGACCCAGAGCUGGACUGAGGGGUUUUAUACAGACCAGGGUCUGUACCGACCCAGAGCUGGACUGAGGAGGUUUUAUACAGACCAGGGUCUGUAUCGACCCCGAGCUGGACUGAGGAGGAUUUAUACAGACCAGGGUCUGUACCGAGCUGGACUGAGGGGUUUUAUACAGACCAGGGUCUGUACCGAGCUGGACUGAGGAGGUUUUAUACAGACCAGGGUCUGUACCGACCCAGAGCUGGACUGAGGAGGUUCUAUACCUGGUCUGUGUUCAACCAAGAUGGAAGAGGAACGACUCAAACAUCCGAAUCUUAGUGCCAAGGUUACCGUGGAAACAGAGGAGGGGAACUGAUUUGUCUAAGUAACUAAUAUUAAAACAUUAAAAAAAUAAGUGUUAUGUAAAGUUGUUAUUGUCUAUUUGUUGGAGCGUAAACAGAGAAACACCAGAUGGGACGAUGUGCGUUGUUGUCCUGUCAGGAGUGGAUUGAUUGAUUGAUUGAUUGAUUGAUUGAUUGAUUGAUUGAUU
rnacentral:lncRNA from 1 species